GACGAACGCUGGUGGCGUGCCUAAUACAUGCAAGUCGAGCGAAGUUUUUCUGGUGCUUGCACUAGAAAAACUUAGCGGCGAACGGGUGAGUAACACGUAAAGAACCUGCCUCAUAGACUGGGACAACUAUUGGAAACGAUAGCUAAUACCGGAUAACAGCAUUAACUGCAUGGUUGAUGUUUAAAAGUUGGUUUUGCUAACACUAUGAGAUGGCUUUGCGGUGCAUUAGCUAGUUGGUGGGGUAAAGGCCUACCAAGGCGACGAUGCAUAGCCGACCUGAGAGGGUGAUCGGCCACACUGGGACUGAGACACGGCCCAGACUCCUACGGGAGGCAGCAGUAGGGAAUCUUCCGCAAUGGGCGAAAGCCUGACGGAGCAACGCCGCGUGAGUGAAGAAGGAUUUCGGUUCGUAAAGCUCUGUUGUUAGGGAAGAAUGAUUGUGUAGUAACUAUACACAGUAGAGACGGUACCUAACCAGAAAGCCACGGCUAACUACGUG
rnacentral:rRNA from 1 species